rnacentral:rRNA from 1 species
UGGGGAAUAUUGGACAAUGGGCGCAAGCCUGAUCCAGCCAUGCCGCGUGGAUGAAGAAGGCCCUAGGGUUGUAAAAUCCUUUCGCUAGGGAAGAUAAUGACGGUACCUAGUAAAGAAGCCCCGGCUAAUUUCGUGCCAGCAGCCGCGGUAAUACGAAGGGGGCUAGCGUUGUUCGGAAUUACUGGGCGUAAAGCGCGCGUAGGCGGGUCUUUAAGUCAGGGGUGAAAUCCCGGGGCUCAACCUCGGAAUUGCCUCUGAUACUGGAGAUCUUGAGUCCGUGAGAGGUGAGUGGAACUCCGAGUGUAGAGGUGAAAUUCGUAGAUAUUCGGAAGAACACCAGUGGCGAAGGCGGCUCACUGGCACGGUACUGACGCUGAGGUGCGAAAGCGUGGGGAGCAAACAGGAUUAGAUACCCCCGUAGUCC